rnacentral:lncRNA from 1 species
GGCCAUUGAAAGACCCUAGGACGAACCCUAUAAGAAACCCCCCUCUCUCCUCUAUGGGUAGACCCUUCAGUCGCCGUCGAUUGUCGGAGAUUUUUCUCCGAUUUUCCCAUUUGAAGCCGCGACUCCUCGACCCGUGUUCGCCGCGAUUUCUCGCCGGUGGGGGUCACCGGAGAUUGUGGUAAGGUCUUCCUCCUCUCCCUCUCUUCUCUCCCUUCUUUCCCGUGCCUGUGGGCACGAUGGCCGGCGACGGGUGUCGCCGGAUUUAGUUGGAGAAGGAAACCCCCUGUUCGCCGCCUUUUCCUCUGAUUUUCCGGCACCGACGGUCACGCCGACCGCCGGCUCUGGUCUCUCCGAACCCGGGAGACUCGGCCAUUGCCGCCGGCCACCACCGGCCAUGGUAUGGCCNNNNNNNNNNNNNNNNNNNNUAUAUAUAUAUAUGAGAGAAAGUUUUUCUCAUCUCUCUCUUAAAUUUUUCUCUCUCUAAAAUUAGACUUUCUCUCUCUACUUUCUCUCUCAUGACCGACUUUCUCUCUCUAAAAAAGAUCUAUGAAUCCUGUAUCGAGUUAUGCCUUCAUCUUUUAGAAGCUUAUAUUGACUCUAUCAAGAUGAUCUGAAGUUGCUUUGAUAUUCGUGCUGUAUGUCAACUCAUCUGAUCGUAUCAAAGAUCUUUCAAAUUUAUUAUUAAAGAACCCUAUUGAUUGAUCUUGACUUAAUUCGAUCUGUGCCUCAUGAUUUCUUGAUCAAGUCACUUGAAUCUGACUCUCAGAUCAAAGAUCCUAAAUUACCCUGGUAUCUGGAUGGACCGACACCUCCGGACAACAAUCCUCUUUCCUUAUGAUUUAAUCUUAUUAUAUUUAUGAAAUAGAAUUUGAUAAUGAUUUGAUAUUUUAAAUAGGAUUAGCUGAUUCUUCUAACGAAGUCCGAAGAUCUAAGAUGAACGAGGUAAGUAGAUCCUAUGCUCCUUAUUUAUUUUUAAAUGAUCAUGUUUUUAUGCAAAGAAUUGCUAUUGAUGAAAUCAUAAUUUUUCAUAAAAUAAGGAUCGGCAUAUGUGAUAUGAA